rnacentral:piRNA from 1 species
UCAGCAAGCAUGCUGCUUAAGCAACAAAU